CCUACGGGAGGCAGCAGUAAGGAGUAUUGGACAAUGCCCGCAAGGGUGAUCCAGCCAUGCCGCGUGCAGGAAGAAGGCCCUAUGGGUCGUAAACUGCUUUUACACCGGAGAAAACCUCCCUUCGUGAAGGGAGCUGAUAGUAUGGUGAGAAUAAGCAUCGGCUAACUUCGUGCCAGCAGCCGCGGUAAGACGAAGGAUGCAAGCGUUAUCCGGAUUCAUUGGGUUUAAAGGGAGCGUAGGUGGACUGAUAAGUCAGUGGUGAAAUCUUCGAGCUUAACUCGGAAAUUGCCAUUGAUACUGUUAGUCUUGAGUACAGUUGCUGUGGGCGGAAUAUGACAUGUAGUGGUGAAAUACAUAGAGAUGUCAUAGAACACCGAUUGCGAAGGCAGCUCACAAAGCUGUAACUGACACUGAGGCUCGAAAGUGCGGGGAUCAAACAGGAUUAGAUACCCUGUAGUCCGCACUGUAAACGAUGAUUACUCGCUGCUAGAGGGCAACUUUUAGUGGCUUAGCGAAAGCGAAUAAGUAAUUCCACCGUGGGGAGUUAGCCGGCACGGUUGAAACGUUAAAGGGAAUUAGACGGCGUUAGAGAGCGACGAGGCACGACGGAGGGUUAGAGG
rnacentral:rRNA from 1 species